GAGAAGCCGGGCACACCCGGAGGGGGUAGCAUUGGAUAUAGAACCAUCUCAAAUCACUUUUGUGCAUGCCAUGUGGACACACACAACUUUUGGGGCCAUUCCCUAGGUGCGAUGCUCGAUUUCUGACGAAACCCUAGUUCUGUUGACCGCGCCGUCUACCCCUUUGACUGCGUCCCAUCGGGGUUCCCCCGGUGGGCGUAUGCCUGCGUUUGAGCUUGGUUAGGUCAUAGGUACAUGUGGAAACAAGUACCAUCCCCUAUGAUCCCAAGGUUCUCUCCGGUUCACCUCCGAGGGAGUUCCCCCCUAUACACGCAGAAUCUGCCUAAGUGUAGGAACCCCAUGUCCGAGAAGCCGG